rnacentral:rRNA from 1 species
CAGUUCGGACUGUGGUCUGCAACCCGACCACACGAAGCUGGAAUCGCUAGUAAUCGCGAAUCAGAAUGUCGCGGUGAAUACGUUCCCGGGUCUUGUACACACCGCCCGUCACACCAUGGGAGUCAGCAACGCCCGAAGCCAGUGACCUAACCGAAAGGGAGGAGCUGCCGAAGGCGGGGCCGGUAACUGGGGUGAAGUCGUAACAAGGUAUC